AGCAGAUGACUGUAGAGUUUAGUAGUUCGUGUCAUGCGUUCGUACGGUAUUGUGUUGUAUUUUCUGUGUAAUAUGUAAGUGAUUUGAUGGUGGAGACAGGAAAUCACGGAAAGACACAUAUUGAGUGUGUGGCUUAGGAGGGCAAUCAUGGACUGCAAGGGAACUAGUUGGGUGAAAAAAGAGAAGAAUGAAAUAUAUGCUGAAUCAGAAUCCUUGGUCCUCACUGUAUUCCACAACAUUCCCCAUGCUGGGUGUAUUGGCUGU